rnacentral:rRNA from 1 species
GGAAUAUUGGACAAUGGGCGAAAGCCUGAUCCAGCAAUGCCGCGUGAGUGAUGAAGGCCUUAGGGUUGUAAAGCUCUUUUACCAGGGAUGAUAAUGACAGUACCUGGAGAAUAAGCUCCGGCUAACUCCGUGCCAGCAGCCGCGGUAAUACGGAGGGAGCUAGCGUUGUUCGGAAUUACUGGGCGUAAAGAGUACGUAGGCGGUUAUUCAAGUCAGAGGUGAAAGCCUGGAGCUCAACUCCAGAACUGCCUUUGAAACUAGAUAACUAGAAUCUUGGAGAGGUGAGUGGAAUUCCGAGUGUAGAGGUGAAAUUCGUAGAUAUUCGGAAGAACACCAGUGGCGAAGGCGACUCACUGGACAAGUAUUGACGCUGAGGUACGAAAGCGUGGGGAGCAAACAGGAUUAGAUACCCUGGUAGUCCACGCCGUAAACGAUGAUAACUAGCUGUUCGGGCUCUACGAGCUUGAGUGACGCAGCUAACGCAUUAAGUUAUCCGCCUGGGGAGUACGGUCGCAAGAUUAAAACUCAAAGGAAUUGACGG